CGGCGGACGGGUGGAGUAACGCGUGAGCAACCUGCCUCAACAGGGGAGUAACGCAUCGAAGAUGUGCUAAUACCGCAUGAGACCACAACAUCACAUGGUGAAGGGGUCAAAGGAGCAAUCCGGUUGAAGAUGGGCUCGCGUCCGAUUAGCUGGUUGGUGAGACAACAGCCCACCAAGGCGACGAUCGGUAGCCGACCUGAGAGGGUGAUCGGCCACAUUGGAACUGAGAUACGGUCCAGACUCCUACGGGAGGCAGCAGUGGGGAAUAUUGGGCAAUGGGCGAAAGCCUGACCCAGCAACGCCGCGUGAGGGAAGAAGGGUUUCGGCUCGUAAACCUCUGUCCUGUGGGACGAAGGAAGUGACGGUACCACAGGAGGAAGCCCCGGCUAACUACGUGCCAGCAGCUGC
rnacentral:rRNA from 1 species